UGGAAGUGAGGAAGGAGAAGAAUUUGAUCUCAGAUUGCCAGAAUAUAAGAUUAAUCCCUAUGGCCUAUUGUAGGAGGCAGCCACAGAGAAGGAUACGACUACUGAGGAUGACACCAUCCAAGAGUUGUUUCAGUUCUUCUACAUUGUCAACAAAAAUAGACUAAUAUGAUUAACUUUAUGGAAAAGUUAGUCUGUAUAAUUGAUGCCAACAAAAAUUACUUUGUGAAAGAGAAAUGAAUAAAAGAUAUAUUAAAAUUUGAA